UUAUGUCCCAGAUAUAUAGUCAAGAAAUUUAUUCAGAAUAUGCUGGUUUGAUAUAACCUCUUCUAAUGCUGCUUAACUUUUCAUAGGGGCAUAAAAUGCUAUUACAAAACUAUUGAUCUGCAAAUUUAUCAGAUCCAACCAUUUAAUGAAGAAACGGUCACCCACCAACUAAUAUGUCUAUUCCCACAAAAUUGUUUCAAGUAAUUAACAUAACUAGUGAAUUAUGACUUCCCCUCCACUGUGUAUCACCUCAUAAAUAAUGCUAUCGUCUUGACUGUUUUGCCUUCAUUAUGCAUAAUUGAUAAGAACUUAAUGUGAUCCUUUGUUUUUAACUCACAUAACUGGACCAGCUAUGUGGGGCUUUGACAAUCGUCUGUAAAUAUUUCCAUCACAAUUUUAGGGAUAUUGUCGAUAUUCCUGAUCAGGAAUCUUUGAUAGACUGAAGAGGGUAGUACAAAACCCUUGAUCAUGACAGCUAGUUCUGAAAAGUGUGCAGUACUUUGGUUUCCUGUAUGACAAUUUGGCGGUUUCAUUUUGUCCCUUAGAAUAACUAUGUGUCACUUAAUUUGAAGGAUAAUCUCCAAUAUAAUACUGUAUUUUUUUCCAACCAAUGGAAGUACCAGGCAGAAAAAAGAUGGUUAACCUGCAUGGGUGUGCUAUACUGCACUUUUUUUUGUCUGAGCUAUUUUUGUAUGUUGAUUUUGUGAAUAAAGUCAAAUGUAUAUAUA